CAGGCAGCUGUGCUUGUCUGUGAUAACCACGUGCCGAUCGCACGUCCCCGUGACGGCGACAUCGCAUUCGGAUGUCUACCCUAUCAACUUUCAAUGCUAUUUUCCAAACCUACCAUGGUGACAACGGGUAAUGGGGAAUCAGGAUUCGAUUCCAGAGAGGAAGUCUGAGAAAUGGCUACAACAUGCAAGGAAGGAAGCAGGCGCGCAAAUUACCCACUCCCGAUGCGGGGAGGUAGUGA